GAUGAAGAACGUAGCGAAAUGCGAUAAGUAGUGUGAAUUGCAGAAUUCAGUGAAUCAUCGAAUCUUUGAACGCACAUUGCGCCCCUUGGUAUUCCAUGGGGCAUGCCUGUUCGAGCGUCAUUUGUACCUUCAAGCUCUGCUUGGUGUUGGGUGUUUGUCUCGCCUCUGCGUGUAGACUCGCCUCAAAAUAAUUGGCAGCCGGCGUAUUGAUUUCGGAGCGCAGUACAUCUCGCGCUUUGCACUCAUAACGACGACGUCCAAAAGUACAUUUUUACACUCUUGACCUCGGAUCAGGUAGGGAUACCCGCUGAACUUAAGCAUAUCAAUAAGCGGAGA
rnacentral:misc_RNA from 1 species